GACGAACGCUGGCGGCGUGCCUAAUGCAUGCAAGUCGCACGCAGCGCCUUUCGGGGCGCUGAGUGGCGCACGGCUGAGGAACACGUGGGAACCUGGCUCCUGGUGGGGGACAACAGCGCGAAAGCGGUGCUAAUCCCGCAUCCGCUCGCCUUUCGGCGAGGAAAGCGUGUACACGCGCCGGGAGAGUGGCCCGCGGCCCAUCAGGUGGUUGGUGGGGUAAUGGCCUACCAAGCCGAUGACGGGUAGCUGGUCUGUGAGGACAGACAGCCAGACUGGGACUGAGACACGACCCAGACUCCUACGGGAGGCAGCAGCAAGGAAUUUUCGUCAAUGGGCGCAAGCCUGAACGAGCAACGCCGCGUGGAGGAUGACGGCCUUCGGGUUGUAAACUCCUUUUUCAGGGGACGAUGAUGACGGUACCCUGGGAAUAAGGCUCGGCUAACUCUGUGCCAGCAGCCGCCGUAACAC
rnacentral:rRNA from 1 species